rnacentral:rRNA from 1 species
UACGUAGGGCGCAAGCGUUGUCCGGAAUUAUUGGGCGUAAAGAGCUCGUAGGCGGUCUGUCGCGUCCGUUGUGAAAACCCGAGGCUCAACCUCGGGCCUGCAGUGGGUACGGGCAGACUAGAGUGCGGUAGGGGAGAUUGGAAUUCCUGGUGUAGCGGUGGAAUGCGCAGAUAUCAGGAGGAACACCAAUGGCGAAGGCAGAUCUCUGGGCCGUAACUGACGCUGAGGAGCGAAAGCAUGGGGGAGCGAACAGG